rnacentral:rRNA from 1 species
AUUGAACGCUGGCGGCAUGCCUUACACAUGCAAGCCGAACGGUAACAGGUCUUCGGAUGCUGACGAGUGGCGAACGGGUGAGUAAUACAUCGGAACGUGCCUAGUAGUGGGGGAUAACUACUCGAAAGAGUGGCUAAUACCGCAUGAGAUCUUCGGAUGAAAGCAGGGGAUCGCAAGACCUUGUGCUACUAGAGCGGCCGAUGGCAGAUUAGGUAGUUGGUGGGAUAAAAGCUUACCAAGCCGACGAUCUGUAGCUGGUCUGAGAGGACGAUCAGCCACACUGGGACUGAGACACGGCCCAGACUCCUACGGGAGGCAGCAGUGGGGAAUUUUGGACAAUGGGCGAAAGCCUGAUCCAGCAGUGCCGCGUGCAGGAUGAAGGCCUUCGGGUUGUAAACUGCUUUUGUACGGAACGAAAAGCCCCGGGUUAAUACCCUGGGGUCAUGACGGUACCGUAAGAAUAAGCACCGGCUAACUACGUGCCAGCCGCCGCGGUAA